rnacentral:lncRNA from 10 species
CACUAUUUCGCCAUGGUUGUUUCACUUCAGGAUCACAGUGGUAAAAUGAUGCAAAGUACAGACUGACUUCUAGGAUUUAAAAAGACAAGAUUAGCAUUUCGACAAUACCUAACAAAUAUCUCCUAACUUAAAAAUUUUCAAAAUAUUUCAAUGAUGUAUCACUCUCUAUGGUAAUAAGCACAAUGGUCCAGUGGUAUUUUUAGUGACUUGGGCAGCUUUGUAGUCUGUGAGCAAGUGCAUUUCAGGCGAUUACUGCAACAGGACUGUGCUGUUCUUGGCUACUGUUGUGAUUAAUUGACAUUACCCAGGAAAUGCACAGCUGAAGUACUUGAAAUAGAGCCAUAAGGAGCAGCAUGAGGGGGCUUAUAUUAACAUACACAUACUGACACUGAAAAGAGCAGAAGAAAAGCAAAAGAUGAAGACCAAAUGCCAAGACUGUUUUUCUCUUAUAACCUAGAGCAUGUGUGUUAUAGUGGGCGUAUCAUAUUUCAUUGAAUCUGUCUAAGGUAUUGUUCAUUGUACAGUCAUUGUUUUAGGUACUAAUAAGAAAGAAAAUAUGCUGCCAAUAAAAC